GAUAGAGGCGCGAGGUUCAUCAGUACGCCCCCGCAAGAAAGCAGCUUUCGCGGGUGCGGAAAGGGGACAUCGCCGAAGUGGAGGGGCGCAGCUGCGCGUUUCUCUGCUGGGCCGUCGGAGAAGAUCCGCCGGACUGUCACGCGAGUGGAGCGCUAUCGA
rnacentral:ncRNA from 1 species